GGGGGAUCUUCGGACCUCACGCUAUCAGAUGAGCCUAGGUCGGAUUAGCUAGUUGGUGGGGUAAUGGCCCACCAAGGCGACGAUCCGUAACUGGUCUGAGAGGAUGAUCAGUCACACUGGAACUGAGACACGGUCCAGACUCCUACGGGAGGCAGCAGUGGGGAAUAUUGGACAAUGGGCGAAAGCCUGAUCCAGCCAUGCCGCGUGUGUGAAGAAGGUCUUCGGAUUGUAAAGCACUUUAAGUUGGGAGGAAGGGCAGUAAGUUAAUACCUUGCUGUUUUGACGUUACCAACAGAAUAAGCACCGGCUAACUUCGUGCCAGCAGCCGCGGUAAUACGAAGGGUGCAAGCGUUAAUCGGAAUUACUGGGCGUAAAGCGUAGGUGGUUCAGCAAGUUGGAUGUGAAAGCCCCGGGCUCAACCUGGGAAUUGCAUCCCUGAGCUAGAGUACGGUAGAGGGUGGUGGAAUUUCCUGUGUAGCGGUGAAAUGCGUAGAUAUAGGAAGGAACACCAGUGGCGGAAGGCGGGACCCACCCCGGAGCUGAAUACUGACCACUGAGGGUGCAAAAAGCGUGGGGGAGCCAAACCACGGAUUUAGAUUACCCCUGGGUAGUCCACGCCCGUAAAACGGAUGUCAGACUAGGCCCUUGGGGAUCCCUUGAGAUCUUAGUGGCGCCAGCUAAACGCGAUAAGUCGAACCGCCCCGGGGAGUACGGCCCGCAAAGGGUAAAAACUCUAAUGAAUUGACGGGGGCCCGCACAAGCGGUGGAGCAUGUGGAAUUCGAAGCAACGCGAAGAACCCUUACCCGGCCUUGACAUGCAGAGAACUUUCCAGAGAUGGAGUGGUGCCCUCGGGAACUCUGACACAGGUGCUGCAUGGCUGUCGUCAGCUCGUGUCGUGAGAUGUUGGGUUAAGUCCCGUAACGAGGGCAACCCCUGUCCUUAGUUGCCAGCACCACGGGUGGGCACUCUAUGGAGACUGCCGGGGAAGCUGAGGAAGGUGGGGAUGACGUCAAGUCAUCAUGGCCCUUACGGCCAGGGCUACACACGUGUUACAAUGGUCGGUACAAAGGGUU
rnacentral:rRNA from 1 species